rnacentral:rRNA from 1 species
UACAGAGGUCCCAAGCGUUGUUCGGAUUCACUGGGCGUAAAGGGUGCGUAGGUGGCAUGUUAAGUUUGAUGUGAAAGCUCAGGGCUUAACCCUGAAAUGGCAUUGAAUACUAGCGUGCUGGAGGUUUGGAGGGGGGACUGGAAUUCUCGGUGUAGCAGUGAAAUGCGUAGAUAUCGAGAGGAACACCAGUGGCGAAGGCGAGUCCCUGGACAACACCUGACACUGAGGCACGAAAGCCGGGGGAGCAAACAGG